UCAGACGAUGCGUCAUGCAUAUCAAUAAGCGGAGGAAAAGAAACUAACAAGGAUUCCCCUAGUAACGGCGAGUGAAGCGGGAAGAGCUCAAAUUUGAAAUCUUAAAGGGUUUCCCUUUACGAAUUGUAGUUUAAAGAAGUGUUUUCUGUUGAGGUUUUGGUAAAAGUUCUUUGGAAUAGGACAUCAUAGAGGGUGAGAAUCCCGUAUUUGACCUUUACUUUCAACUUUGUGAUACACUUUCAAAGAGUCGGAUUGUUUGGGAAUGCAGUCCAAAAUGGGUGGUAAAUUUCAUCUAAAGCUAAAUAUUGGCGAGAGACCGAUAGCGAACAAGUACCGUGAGGGAAAGAUGAAAGGAACUUUGAAAAGAGAGUUAAACAGUACGUGAAAUUGUCAAAAGGGAAGCGUUUGACACCAGUGUUGUUUUUCUGAAAAUCAAUUAAAGAACUGUUUAUGCUAAGUUGUUUAGACUUUAUCAGCUAUCUGUUUAGUUUUGAGCUUUUCUUUAAUGCACUUUUCAGUUAACAAGUCAACAUCAAUUUCUUUUGCUGUAAAAAAGCUUGAGGAAGGUGGCUUGAGAUUCGUCUUAAGUGUUUAUAGCCUCUUGCCUAUGCAGUCGGAGAGAUUGAGGUCUGCAGCGUAGAUCCUUCGGGGCUAAAUGCAUUUGUGCUAAGUUAUAGCAUUUUAUAGACAACUUGUUGACUAUGAUUUGUCUUGUAGCUUACUCGCUUAUGUUAUUUUACCUACGCUUAGGAUGUUGACACACGCGCGUGCUCG
rnacentral:rRNA from 1 species